AUACUUUUUUAAGAUGUGAGUUAAUUACAGGAGAAGUGAGGAAAUGAGCAGCUAAUCUUACUGUGAGCUAACGAGCCUGAUUGCACUGACAUCAGUGUGAGCCAAGGGAGCAGUGCCGAUUGCACAGUGGGACCCUACAGUCCCACGAGCGGGGUCGGACAUAAAACUGGCAAAGAGGGGAACUCUGUUUCCCGGGUGCGUUGUCAGUGUCCGUGAGUCCUAAUGCAUUACCAGAGCAGUGCCUGAUCCACGAACCAGCCCGAGUCCCUUGCGCUCCAGCUGUGAGCUUCUACUAAGUGCCCUUAACUUUCUACAUUAGAGAAAAAAACUACCUGGAAAACUACCUGGUUGCAGGAAAUGCAACUGACAUGAAGGGAAUAUAUUUUGCUAACAUUGAACUAAUCUUUUGCUGUGAGCGGAGUAUGGCACUGCAGCUUUGCAAUGAAACAAAAUUACCUGUAAAAGGCUCUGUAGGCACUCGGUGCUGCCUGUAGAAGCAGACCACACAUAUUUACAUCAUUGUAACAUAUAUAUUCUUUUUUUCCUGCAUUUAUGACCCUGUCCAACUUCCAGCUCAGGCAACUGCUGUGUCUCAGAAGGAUUUGUGAGUCAUGGGCCUGCUGAUAAAGAAGGGGUAUUUUCUCUCUUGGUGGCCACCCUGUAAUGUUGCGUUUGGCAUUAGGCAGCUGUCCGCAGCCUCGCUUGUCCUGCAGACGGAAGCGCAGGACCCCCUUGGCUCUAUUACCUAAUAUAGCAUUUGGGAUCUGGGGGGAGGACAUGCUCAGUGCAUCCUCUGAAUCAUAAAAAGGAGCAAGUAUUCUUGCCAGCUGCAAUGCUGGCCUUGCUGACUGCAAGUUUUUACGGGGCUGUAAUAUCAUAGAAAUGAGGGAUGGAAAAAAUGUAGUAUUUCUCAAGAGCUACCUGCCUGUCCGUGCAUGAUACAGCCCAGAUCACACGUAAAAUGAAUAUAUCUGAAUGGACCUAAGCAGCACCUUUCCAUCUCUUUAAAUUAGACCAGUCUUAUUUAGAGGUUUUUGUAGUCCAUCGUGUAAGUAAAUGGACAGAUAACGUAAUUUGUGGUCUGUGGGGAUAUUCUAAUUUUGAGUAGACAGAAGUGUUGUCAUCGGGGUGCCUGCCUUGUGCUCUCGCAACUUUCAAAACCCGCUUCUCUCCCCGUACUCUUCCCUGGGGGACCCAUCCCUGCCAGCACUGCCUGUGCAGCUACAAACACCUCAGAGUAAAUCCUUAAACUCUUUUGCUUCAACUCUUUAAAAGACAUCUCCGUUACUCCCAAGUGCUGAACUCAAAUCUUGCCACCCAAGGCCGUUUUCAGCCAGUGGCUCAGGGCAGCAGCACGGCGGGGCUCUGCACUCCUAUCUUCGUUGCUUGUGAGCCAGAAGCCACUAAGAUAAACAUAACUGAUUUCGUUUUGCUUGUAUUUCAAAGGGCAUUUCGGUCAGAAAAGAGGAGCAAGGCCGCACCUAGCUUUCAGGAGACAGUGGCUAAAUAAACAUCUGGACACUAAUGUAAACUCCUGAGGUCCAUGGUGGAGGUCGAGCAUGGCACGGGGCCAAGUGCCAGCAGCGUAUGUGCCGGGCUGCACAGCCUCCACGCUCGCUCGCCUGUCUUCUGCCAGUCCGUCAGUCCCAAAUGUUGUCCUCUUCGUACGUGAUGUUUCCCUUAAGUGGUGCCGGGCUGUUUAGUCGUUCGCUUGCUUUUGCUGUAACUUCCUUUGUUUAAUAUGCUUUAAAAUAGCCAAGCACUGCACAAAGAGAGGCUUGUUCGCUUGUGCAGCAGCCAGCGAAACAAAGAGACUUCCACGUCUCCUGUUUUUACAAGCCGGGAUGAAUCACUGAGCUCCGCACGCGGUUCCCCCGCCGCAUACCGGUAUUCCCCUCGCCCGGGGACUUGCGUUACAGAAACAGGGAUCCGUGACCGGGAGAGCUCUCUGGAGUGUGAUGUGUCAGUUGGAGCAGCCCCUGGCAUUGCUCUGCAGCAGUCCCCGCAGAACUGGUCCCUGCAGAGCCCUAACACACAUUGCCCAUGUCAGGUUUGACUUCGUGUCAGGUUUGACGUCGGCAUGCUCUGCGGCGGUUAACCGUUUCUUAGUCGUACAGCUGCUGUCUGCAGAGCGGGACACUAGACGAUCAUUAUGCUCCAUGAGAACUGCAGUAGGAGCUGUUCUAUCUGAGGUUGGGAAUAUUCACUCCAUCUUUGGUUUAUCUGAUGGCUUUUCAUUUGUGUUGAGGAUGUCCUUGUUCUAGAGGACAGGGCGCUGUAUUCCUUAAGGCAAAGCUGUGCACGAUGCAGGAGCCAGACUGUUUAACAGAGACACUUGGGAGUGGUGAACAUGAGGUUCCAGUGAAGCCUGCUGGGUGAGGAGGAGCCAGCUCUGAACAGUGGCUCUGCCCCACGCUGUGAAACCCCUCAAAGCUCCUUGUGGAUGUUCAAUGCUUGGCAAGCUGGGUCCGAGUCAGCUCCUGCGUAUCAGUUCUCAUCACUGUCAAAUGGACUUCCAGGGUUCCUCCUCCCUUGCUCUUUGGCCUCUAAAAUAAAUUAUUCUGAUUAUCUCAAUUAUGUCAUAAGAGGGGGGUGGAAUAGUAAGGCCUUACAUGGGCUUAUUUAACAAUCUAAUACUUUGGUCUUGCGAGCCCUCUGGGCUGUCAGUUUCCAGAUAUCUUAGUUAAACUGAUUCAAAUAUUUAAAAACUGGAAUAUUGGAAAGCUGCACCAUUGCCUGUGAAAAGUGUCGGUACAGUAUUAGGAGCCAGGAGCCAGUGCCACCGUUCGAGAUAUCCUCCUAGAACAAAGUGACUUUGAGUGGCAGAUGCUUUCUCGUCUUCUGGGACCGUUGCGGUAAACGGGUGGGAAGAGCCGAUAUGAAGGAGAUCCCGCGGCCACGCAUACCCUACAUGCUGCUGCUGCACGACUAGAUAGCCACAGCAGAGAUGAAGACUUUGGGGUUUGAAUUUUGGUUCAAAUCCACCUUCCCAGGAGCCUUUCUGGGGAGCUGCCAUCCUGUGGGACGUGACGGUGCCCAGGACCUUCUAGCAUGUCCUUUAAACAUUUCUGCUUGUACUAGGAUGUGAUGGGUUUUAAAGUUCUGCAUUCUCAGACUUUUACGUUAUAGCACAUUAGGGUGGGGCUUAAAUAAAUAAUAGCUCAAAGGCAGGUUCAAAAUGAAUCAUGAUUUGAGGGCAGGACUAGAGAGUGACUAACUGUUCAGAGCAGUGACCUCUCUGGAAGUGAAGUGAGGAUACUGGAGAUGCAUGAAAUCUCGGAGGAGAAGCAUCACUUAGGAUGAGGGUGAGCUGUGAAGGAUUUCAAAGUAGGAUUUAAUCCUCUGAGCAAUCCUAAUCCUGACCCUGAUUUUGUGGACUGGACCAGUUUCUGCAGCCCGACUCUGAACAUCUCGGUUUUUACCCAGUUGCAGAGCAACUGCUUUCGGUGGGGCAGCUGGUGAUCAAAAUCUUUGCACUAAAUGAAACUUAAUUGAAAGAUGUUGUGUUAUCAAAGCCAGAACAUGUUGUGGAGAUGUAUUGGUGUGAAGGCUCAUCCAUCAGAGCUCUUAGAGGGAGAGAUUCCUCUGAUUAAAGCCUUUGCUCUGUGUUUCAGGCAAACAAACGAGAAGUGCCUCACCUUGCUGCUGGUUUAGCACAGCUGGGCAAAUGCCACAUAAAAAUUAUUCUGCAAAUCAUUUGCCUAUCUCUAUGUGAGAAGGAUUUUUCAUUUAAAUAUAUUUACAUUAAUUAGUGCCUUCCGUAUGGUUUUGGUGCUUGCAUUAGGCUCAUUUUCAUUUUGGCAAGACCAACUGCCACCUUUUUGGGGGGGGAUACUGUUUUGUAGAGCUACACUGACUUCUUCCCAGAAUUUACUCUUUAUCCUGUGUUUUCUGAAGCAAACGGACUUCUCUUGAUUAAAAGUUGCCAGAGUUUUCUCGUCAUGGGCAUCUUGGAAAAGUCAUCUAAGGGCACAAAGUUAUUUGAAUUUUCCAAAGCUUGUUCUCCUACUCAGAACAAAUGUUUUUGCUUCUUUCUGGUUUUAUUGACUCGCCUCUCGUUUGAGUGAAGAGUAAAAGCAGCGCUGGGAUGAAAAACUGGUAUGAAUGCUCACCUUGCUGUGCUCAGCUGCUCUGGAAAAGGUGGUACUAGUCUUGGGAGUUACCCCUUGCCUGUAACGUGCCAUUUGUGUGGUCCUUCCUCCUUACCGUGCAAUUUGUUUUAUGUUAUAAAAUGCACCUUUCAAUGACGGAGAGGGAGUGCAGUUCCCAGGGGAUCGCUGCUGUGCUUCUGUCUGGUUGAGAGCUCUUGCUGUGUGCAUGUUGGUACUUUCUGGUGAAGAAAUCCAUACAAAACCUAGUAAGCUGACACAUAGACUCAAGAUACAGUUGUAUGUAUUAACUGGCUAGAAGAGAUAUUCUUAAAUAUAGGAAGAGCAUUUUGGAUGAAGCAAAAACCAACCUGAGCCUCUUCCAAAGGAACCCAAAGCUUCAGUUCAAGCUGCAGACUGGGCCAUACCCCACUGCUGCGUUUUUUCCGCCCAAGGAGACAGACAAUAUGUGCUUUGUCACACAACGCAGCGUGAAAUCUUAAACUCUCUCAGUCCUGGUAUUUCGUAUCAAUCCAAACAAAUGUAAAUCUAAACCAAGGGCUGUUGGGUACCAAACACAAUGGUAUUGGAUACACCGAGACUGGAAUUCAUCGGCCAUAGAUGCUGCAGGACUGCCCCGACCGAGGAGUUGGUAAGCAGAUUUGGCCCUGCAGGGUAUGGCAGGCAUUUUCUCCAUGUGCCAACAAAAACUCAGGCAGGCACACCUUAUAAACACAUGACACAUUCAUUUUCAGGAAAGUAAACGGGGUGGUUUCUCCAUGACCUUACCAAUUCCCCAGCAUCCGGCAGAGGGGGGUUUUCUUCUGCCUUACCAGUUCCCAGCAGUGAGUAACAUGCCCCGAGCCUGCUUUUAAAUAAGGAAAUUCAGUAUCGUUUCUAAGCCGUGCUAAUUCACAGUGCUUUCCUUGGGCAGGAUCCUAUAGGGAGUUUUUCCUUUCCAGCAUUUUAAUGCAAUUUGCAUAUUUCAAGUCUCAUUUGUCUGGAAAUGAGCUGGAAAUGUACGGGUGAUAACACUCCUGCUUCAGGUUCCACUUCAUCAAUUUUAAGCCCCGUGUUGCUUAAAUAUGUCCCACCCAAGGGAGGUUCUGCCGCUUUCAGAAAUGCUAAACUUUACUGGUAAAAUGUGAAUAUUGUUCUGUCUACAUCAGAUAUAUGUUAUUGCUUUCAUGAGCAGCCACAUGCUGAUUUAUGGCAACGUGCUAUUUAUUUAUCAACAUUUACAUUGUGGAUUUUUAAAUUAUUCUAAUAACAUAAGGCCAACAAGUUGGUCAUGAUGUUACUCCUUUAAAGUCUUCCUUUGAACAUAUGUAUAAAUCAACUCUCCUUUGAUGUGAAAUUGGGGAUUUCAUAACCGUGUGUUUACUUUUUGGUUGAAAAAAUAAGCUGAAGGGAAAACAAAACAAAACAAAAA